ensembl:misc_RNA Metazoa_SRP Metazoan signal recognition particle RNA
GCCAGGCAUGGUAGUGCAUGCCUGUAGUCCCAGCUACUUGGAGGCUGAGGUGGGAGAAUCACUUGAGCCUGGGAAGUUGAGGCUGCAGUGAGCCAUGAUCAUUGCCACUGCACUCCAGCCUGGGUGACAGAAUGAGACCCUGUCUCAA